rnacentral:rRNA from 1 species
AGAGUUUGAUCAUGGCUCAGAUUGAACGCUGGCGGCAUGCCUUACACAUGCAAGUCGAACGGUAACGCGGGGGCAACCCUGGCGACGAGUGGCGAACGGGUGAGUAAUAUAUCGGAACGUGCCCUAGAGUGGGGGAUAACUAGUCGAAAGACUAGCUAAUACCGCAUACGAUCUACGGAUGAAAGCGGGGGAUCGCAAGACCUCGCGCUCAUGGAGCGGCCGAUAUCUGAUUAGCUAGUUGGUGGGGUAAAAGCCUACCAAGGCAUCGAUCAGUAGCUGGUCUGAGAGGACGACCAGCCACACUGGGACUGAGACACGGCCCAGACUCCUACGGGAGGCAGCAGUGGGGAAUUUUGGACAAUGGGGGCAACCCUGAUCCAGCAAUGCCGCGUGAGUGAAGAAGGCCUUCGGGUUGUAAAGCUCUUUUGUCAGGGAAGAAACGGUUGUUCCUAAUACGGAUGACUAAUGACGGUACCUGAAGAAUAAGCACCGGCUAACUACGUGCCAGCAGCCGCGGUAAUACGUAGGGUGCGAGCGUUAAUCGGAAUUACUGGGCGUAAAGCGUGCGCAGGCGGUUGUGCAAGACAGAUGUGAAAUCCCCGGGCUUAACCUGGGAAUUGCAUUUGUGACUGCACGGCUAGAGUGUGUCAGAGGGGGGUAGAAUUCCACGUAGCAGUGAAAUGCGUAGAUAUGUGGAGGAAUACCGAUGGCGAAGGCAGCCCCCUGGGAUAACACUGACGCUCAUGCACGAAAGCGUGGGGAGCAAACAGGAUUAGAUACCCCAGUAGUCC